GUACCCGUAGCUCAGUUGGAAGAGCAUCAGUUUCCGAAGCUGAAGGUCGCCGGUUCGAACCCAGUCGGGUGCGCCA
rnacentral:tRNA from 1 species